UUUUGCAGGGCAUGGCUGGCAGGGUUCUCCAAAACCAUAGUCCGGAUUGGCACAGCAGCAUUCGGACUUGGUCACUGCACCGGGGAAAGGACGCACACAUACUCCUUUCUUGAUUCCUCCAUAGCAGGUACUGCGCAUCUAGUUGCAUGGUGAUGAGGAGUAACUAAAAACAUUUCGAGCUUUUGAUACUUGCCGAUUCUGGAGAUUUCACAUGGAUGGAAUCAUAUACAGUAUGGUGUUUUGUGACUGGCUUCUUUCACUUAGUGUAAUCUUUCCAAGGUUUAUCCAUGUUUUAGUAUGUACUCUUUUUAUAGUGAAUAUUAUUCCAUUGUAUAGAAAUAUCUCUGUUGGCUUUUCAAAGAUGAUUUUGCACAGUGGGGCCAUUGUAAAAUGUUUCACUUACCAACACACACACGUCCAUCCAUGCCCACAGCCAGGCCUGGGGGACAGUCACAGCGGAAGGACCCUUCAUUGUUGAUGCAGUGCCCAUUCAUGCAGAUUCCUGGAGUCUGGCAUUCAUCAACAUCUGCGCAGUGGGUGACAGAAGUCAAGUAGUUACUGGGUAAAUAUAACUUUACUACAGGGUUUACUUGCUGCCACUGCUCAAUACUACCAACCUUUUGUUUAUAACUUUAUAAUUUGUGAAGAACAAAUAAGUGUGGUAACAGAUAUUAUAUGCAAAUGCAAUCCUUUCAACACAUUUCAGAAAGACAGUAAAAGUUGCUUUACUUUACCCAUUGAGGAAAAAAAAGCCUCACAAUCUUCUUUUUCAUUAUUUA